rnacentral:rRNA from 1 species
AGAGUUUGAUCAUGGCUCAGAAUCAACGCUGGCGGCGCGCUUAACACAUGCAAGUCGACGAGAAAGGGGAGCAAUCCCUGAGUAAAGUGGCGUACGGGUGAGUAACACGUGGAUAAUCUCCUCUUGGCGGGGAAUACCCCUGGGAAACCGGGGACAAUCCGCAUAAGCUCGAGAGAGGAAACCUGAAAAGGGCCGAGAGAGGAGUCCGCGGUCGAUUAGCUAGUUGGUAGGGUAAAGGCCUACCAAGGCAAAGAUCGAUAGCCGGCCUGAGAGGGCACACGGCCACACUGGCACUGAAACACGGGCCAGACUCCUACGGGAGGCAGCAGUGGGGAAUCUUGCACAAUGGGGGAAACCCUGAUGCAGCGACGCCGCGUGAGCGAUGAAGCCCUUCGGGGUGUAAAGCUCUUUCGACGGGAACGAUAAUGACGGUACCCGGAGAAGAAGCUGCGGCUAACUACGUGCCAGCAGCCGCGGUAAUACGUAGGCAGCAAGCGUUGUUCGGAGUUACUGGGCGUAAAGAGUGCGUAGGUGGUGCCCUAAGUCUGUUGUGAAAUCUCCCGGCUUAACUGGGAGGGUGCGGUGGAAACUGGGGUGCUUGAGUGUGGGAGAGGUAAGCGGAAUUCCUGGUGUAGCGGUGAAAUGCGUAGAUAUCAGGAGGAACACCGGUGGUGUAGACGGCUUACUGGACCACGACUGACACUGAGGCACGAAAGCGUGGGUAGCAAACAGGAUUAGAUACCCUAGUAGUCC